rnacentral:rRNA from 1 species
GACGAGGGGUCCAAGCGUUGUUCGGAAUCAUUGGGCGUAAAGCGGGUGUAGGCGGCUCUGUAAGUCAGGAGUGAAAGCCCCGAGCUUAACUUGGGAAGUGCUUUUGAUACUGCAGAGCUUGAAUGUGGGAGAGGGUAGUGGAAUUCCAGGUGUAGUGGUGAAAUACGUAGAUAAUCUGGAGGAACACCGGUGGCGAAGGCGGCUACCUGGCCCAACCAU